GCAUGGCUGUCGUCAGCUCGUGUCGUGAGAUGUUGGGUUAAGUCCCGCAACGAGCGCAACCCUCACCCUUAGUUGCCAGCGGGUAAUGCCGGGCACUCUAAGGGGACCGCCCCGGAUAACGGGGAGGAAGGCGGGGAUGACGUCAAGUCAGCAUGGCCCUUAUGUCCAGGGCUACACACGUGCUACAAUGGCCGGUACAAAGGGGCGCAAGACCGCGAGGUGGAGCAAAUCCCAAAAAACCGGUCUCAGUUCGGAUUGGAGUCUGCAACUCGACUCCAUGAAGUUGGAAUCGCUAGUAAUCGCGUAUCAGCAUGACGCGGUGAAUACGUUCCCGGGCCUU
rnacentral:rRNA from 1 species